rnacentral:rRNA from 1 species
AGCUCCAAUAGCGUAUAUUAAAGUUGUUGCGGUUAAAAAGCUCGUAGUUGGAUUUCUGUCGGUGAGUGGCGCUCCACCCAUUGGGUUGGCAGUCGUCAUGCCCCCGGCAUCUUCCUGGGGACUGUAUCUGCACUUCACUGUGUGGUGCAUAAACCAGGACUUUUACUUUGAGGAAAUGAGAGUGUUUCAAGCAGGCAUGCGCCGUGAAUACGUUAGCAUGGAAUAAUAGCAUCGGACCUCGCUCCAUAGCUGUUGGUUUCUUGGGUCGAGGUAAAGAUGAAUAGGGAUUGUUGGGGGCAUUCGUAUUUAACUGUCAGAGGUGAAAUUCUUGGAUUUGUUGAAGACGGACUACUGCGAAAGCAUCUGCCAAAGAUGUUCUCA